UACAGAGGGGGCAAGCGUUAUUCGGAAUUAUUGGGCGUAAAGGGCGCGUAGGCGGCUUUUCGAGUGACGGGUGAAAGCCCUCGGCUUAACCGAGGAACUGCCUGUCAGACUGGAAGGCUUGAGACCGGGAGAGGUGAGUGGAAUUCCCAGUGUAGCGGUGAAAUGCGUAGAUAUUGGGAGGAACACCAGUGGCGAAGGCGGCUCACUGGACCGGAACUGACGCUGAGGCGCGAAAGCGUGGGGAGCAAACAGG
rnacentral:rRNA from 1 species